rnacentral:misc_RNA from 1 species
CUUGAGAUACCCCUCGGUGUCCUUAGGUAACGCAUACCCCUUGUAAACACUGACAGGAGGGUCGCAUAUUGAAGAUCCAGCUUGAGCUUGACACUCAGUGAAACUCUUAUAGACACCAACAAUAUCGCCUUUCCGCACAACAAAGAAAGCAUCAUUCUCUUGCUCCAUAAUUGUUGGAGCAGGAUCCAAUUUACUCUUUCGCGGAGUUUUUGC